UACGUAGGGGGCUAGCGUUGUUCGGAAUUACUGGGCGUAAAGCGCGCGUAGGCGGCUUUGCAAGUUAGAGGUGAAAGCCCGGGGCUCAACUCCGGAACUGCCUUUAAGACUGCAUCGCUUGAAUCCAGGAGAGGUGAGUGGAAUUCCGAGUGUAGAGGUGAAAUUCGUAGAUAUUCGGAAGAACACCAGUGGCGAAGGCGGCUCUCUGGACCGAGACUGACGCUGAGGCGCGAAAGCGUGGGGAGCAAACAGG
rnacentral:rRNA from 1 species